CCCUCCCUCUUUCUUCAUGCCUAACACAUGCAAGUCGAACGAGACCUUCGGGUCUAGUGGCGCACGGGUGCGUAACGCGUGGGAACCUGCCCUUAGGUUCGGAAUAACUCCCCGAAAGGGGUGCUAAUACCGGAUAAUGUCUUCGGACCAAAGAUUUAUCGCCUUUGGAUGGGCCCGCGUUGGAUUAGCUAGUUGGUAGGGUAAAAGCCUGCCAAGGCGACGAUCCAUAGCUGGUCUGAGAGGAUGAUCAGCCACACUGGGACUGAGACACGGCCCAGACUCCUACGGGAGGCAGCAGUGGGGAAUAUUGGACAAUGGGCGAAAGCCUGAUCCAGCAAUGCCGCGUGAGUGAUGAAGGCCUUAGGGUUGUAAAGCUCUUUUACCCGGGAUGAUAAUGACAGUACCGGGAGAAUAAGCUCCGGCUAACUCCGUG
rnacentral:rRNA from 1 species